rnacentral:rRNA from 1 species
CCAAUAGCGUAUAUUAAAGUUGUUGCGGUAAAAAAGCUCGUAGUUGGAUUUCUGUUGAGAGCGACCGGUCCAUACCAUGUAUGCGUAUCUGGCUUGCUCUCGGCAUCCUCUCGAUAGACGUUACUGCGCUUGAUUGCGUGGUGCGGAUCUCGGGACUUUUACUUUGAGGAAAUUAGAGUGUUCACGGCAGGCUUUCGCCAGAAUACAUUAGCAUGGAAUAAUACUAUAGGAUCUUGGUUCUAUUUUGUUGGUUUCUAGAAUUGAGAUAAUGAUUAAUAGGGACAAUUGGGGGCAUUCGUAUCAACACGUCAGAGGUGGAAUUCUUGGAUUGUGUUGCGACGAACUACUGCGAAAGCAUUUGCCAAGGAUGUUUUCAUUGA